GGUCGGAUAAGGCGUUCACGCCGCAUCCGACAUUUGCACAAGAUGCCUGAUGCGACGCUGUCCGCGUCUUAUCAGGCC
rfam:Trichuris trichiura, WGS project CBXK01000000 data, contig: TTRE_1315